GUUAAAUGGACUACACUUCCGGUUACAGUGGCCGUCCACUUGGUCCAGAUGCAUGGUUUCCCAGACAGACCCAGCAGGUCCCGCUCUUGGGCAGAGGCUGUGAGUGACCCCAGGGGUUCACAGGCAGGAAACUGGGUCUUUCCCAACUGUGAGCCAUUAUAGAUAAGAACCGGAUGAAUAUCUUUCUGGUAAAUCCUUCUGUAUCCCUGAAGAUUUCACUGUUAUCUUCACAGCUUCAAAUGACUACUCAAUUAUAGGCUGGAGGAACAAGAGCCCUGCUGCGCUGCGGGUCACUCUGACCUUGGAAAAUAUCUCACUCAACUUCCUUGAGGACUGGGAGGCACUGUCAAUUACUACAGUGAUGCAAGUUUUCACAGCACUAAACGAUGACUCAGAACCAGCUACGGGAACAUUAAACAAGCCCAAAGCCAUACUAGGACCCGGGACACACCCCCAAAAGAUGCCCUUCAAAUCAGACUAAGGCUCCUCUACCCAGGAGCCUGCACCACCAGCCCUGCGGAGCUCCAGCCCCAUCUCAGUGAGCUGAUGACCCCAAAGUUCAAGGUCUCCGUGGCGUGGACCUGCAGGCUCAGCAGCCCUGGACAGCCCUCUGGACAGGGGCAAAGGACAGAAACUGCAGCCAGUCCAGUCUCCAGAGGGCAGCAGGCCAGGCAGGCUGGGAGCACUGGCCAGGCACAGACCCCAGCAGGGACCUCAGCUCCCAGUGGCCAGUUUCUCCGUCCACCGUUUCUCUCACCUGAGCUCAACCGAAAAUGUGAAGUGGAAAUGCCAGAAAAAAAUCCUGUAAGUUUUAAUAGCUUUUAUUCUAGAAUGUUCUUAUCACUUUAUUUUACCAGAUGGUGUCCGUCUAUAACUGUGCCUAAUUUAGAAAUUAUUCACAGGUCUGCGUACACAGGAAAAAAACCUAGUUAUGUCCAGGGUUCAAGCAGCCACAGGGCCUGGUCCGUGUCCUCCGUUAUUCUGACGAUGGGCUUAUCAAGAUGCAGGGGAGAGCUCUGCCAACCAGGCCGGAGCAGCCCAACACCCUAAGUGACUCCAGGGGAGGAGUCACCAGCCUCAGUUUCCCUCUCCUGAUGAGUGGAUGGAGGCUGCUGGGGACAGUCACACUGCUGCGAGUCCCCAGGCCUGGGCUCCUGUUUCCCAGCCGUGUCAGGAUGGGACCCACACCACCAAUCCGGUCCCUACUGGACUGGUCUUUUUAUCAUUAUUUUUUAUUUUUCAAGACCACGCAGUUUUUUAACUAAGUCAUUUCAGCCAAAAGGCUGCUGUCAGGAAAGAUGUGCGACCCCCAGGGCAACCUGCCUGCAUCACUGCUGCCUCUGUGCCCACCCACUGCCCAAGCCCACCUGCUGGGACAAGGCACAGCCACUCCGAAAGGUGCAGGCAGGGUUAUUGCACAAUGCACCCAUGCACCAAGCCCAUGAUGACUGCUUGCAUUCUGCUGCGAGAACAUGUACAGCUCUUACACACUCGUGCAUGUCCACACCAGGGGGUGGCCAGCUCAGAGCGUGCGCACUUGGGUAUUUUGCUGCAGGCUGCCAAGUGCAUCUUGGAGAAAGGCAACAUUCGAGAGGCCCAGGUCCCCUCUGGACCUGACAGUGCAUAUUCCAGGGUUUGUCCUUUGUCCCAGGGCCAGACGAGCAAGGUGAGGUAAGGUGCGACAUCGAGAGGUCCUCUGUCCUCUCCCCUUCAGAGCUCUCCACGUCUUCUGGCCCUUUCCGUGUCCGUCUGCUGGCCCUUACUGAUUUGUAGGGACUCGGCCUAUGAUAGCAAACAGACCUCAUUUCGGCUAUCCAUGUUCAUAUUCUUUCCUUAGGAAAACCAGCGGCUUUUGAAUUUUCUUUUGGCUGCCAAGACAAGUCUUAACUGUGACACAGUCAGGUGUUUCUCUUUUGCAAUUUCUGAGACUGAUGUCAUACUUAGAAUGGCCUUCCCAUCCGCAGGCCAUCAAACCCAGUCUCCCAUGCCUUCUCAGUAGUCUUCUGGUUUCGUUUUCAAAGCUCCCAUCUCUGAUCCAUCUGGAAAACAUCUGGUUCCCGGGUACGGCAGGAUGCAGCGUCCCUGUCCCAGCCGGCUUCCCCAUCAUUCCGCCCAGCUCAGUGACUAAUCCUUUCUUCCCGGCCCAUGAGAAAUCGCUGUCCUCACCAAAACCCCAACUCCUGCCAGCGCCCUGGUGUUGAAGAGGAACAGCUAUGCGCCCCUGCCCCACAGUGGAUUGGCCCUGAGAUGUCCCUGCCUCAAGUGCAGCCCCAGGAGGAUGCUGGAUUCCGCUGGUGGAGGCGGCAGCCGCGGGGAACCCACGGUGCUGCUCAGGGCAGGGGCUCCAAACAUCCCAGCAGGAGAACGGAAGGCCCUGCGGUGGGGCAUUCUCAAAGCACCCAGCAUGCACGCCCCUCUGCCCCCAGCCAGCCUCUUCCGUUCUCGAUUCUCUGAGCUCAGGGCUGCUGGACUCUGAUGGGUGGAAAAUCCACUUAUACAUUUUUUCUUACUUAUACAUUGUCAUAUUUUCCAAAAUGACUAUAAUGAAACGCGUCCUUGUUCGCUUUCUUUAAAAAGCUGUAUUGUUAGAAAAGGAAGAGGAAGAGGGGGGAAAUGCAUAAGCAGCAGGGUCCAUGUGUCCCACCUCCAGCAGCCAGGUGCUCGCUCCCCAGUCCUACCCUCUGCUCCCCAAACUCUGGGCACCAACAUGCCCUCUGUGGCCACAGUGCACAGAUCCAGAAGGGCUGAGAGGGACCUGCAGGGGGACAGAGCCACACAGUCAGGGGCAGCCGGGUCCUGGCUCCGCCUGAGCUGUACGGUCAGGCAGACCUCUGACCCCCAGAGUCCAGAGUCGCACACUGCUGCUCCUCCCUCCCAGGACACCAGUGGUGGCCCUGGGCAAAGCCACAUCCAGCACCAGCAGGGGGGGGUCGUGAUUUCCCUGGCCUCGGGGCCUGUCCCUCCAUGCUCAGGGCAGGGGCUGCAUCCGGCUCAACAGGCACAGCGACCCACGUAUGGAUGGCAGGUUGAGGAUCGUGGCUGCAUCAAGCAGCCCCUUGGGGGAGCCUCGCGCAGUGCGUUCCACGUCACAAAGGCUGAGGUGAACUGACAAGUGGCCAGAGCAGACAGGGCACACAGCAGGUGUGUGGCGAGCCUGGGCUGCAGAGGACAGAGGGAAGAGCCACAGUGCAGACUCUGGUGCAGAACGCGUGGCCCAACACACAGGUGAUGAACGGCAGGCCUGAGGCGCCAUUCCCAGCCUGCAGUUCAUGCACAAGGCUCCCUCCCUGCCCAAUUGGCGGUGCCUGCGCCCCCUCA
rnacentral:lncRNA from 1 species